GACGGAAGGUGCAAGCGUUGCUCGGAAUCACUGGGCGUAAAGGGUGCGUAGGCGGCCGUGCAAGUCUGGCGUGAAAGCCCCGGGCUCAGCCCGGGAAGUGCGCUCGAAACUGCGCGGCUCGAGUGCCGGAGGGGAGAGUGGAAUUCCUGGUGUAGCGGUGAAAUGCGUAGAUAUCAGGAGGAACACCUGUGGCGAAAGCGGCUCACUGGACCAUAACUGACGCUGAUGCACGAAAGCUAGGGGAGCAAACAGG
rnacentral:rRNA from 1 species